rnacentral:rRNA from 1 species
GGGUUGCUUGAGAGUGCAGCCUAAAUUUGGUGGUAAACUCCAUCUAAAGCUAAAUAUUGAUCAGUGACCGAUAGCAAACAAGUACCGUGAGGGAAAGAUGAAAAGAACCUUGAAAAGGGGGUUAAAAGUACGUGAAAUUGUUAUUAGGAAAGCACUUAAUCUCAUUGUGGAUUAAAUCAGUCUGUUUCGGCAGAUACUGUUUUAAUUAGUUAUGAUCAGUUAAGGUUGAUAAAGAAAAUUUGUGACAAGGUAUUAGUGUAGUGCUAAACUUACAGGUCACUUAUUAUUUGUCGAUAUUGACUGAGGAAUGCUACUUAAUCUUUUCUGGUUAAUAGUUUAUGGAGUUAAGCUAAACAACAUGUUGAUUAGUUUAAUUAAAGUAAUCUAUUGAUUUUAAAACUUGAGUACAGGAUCAUAAUUAAAUGAUAUUAAAUGACCCGUCUUGA